rnacentral:rRNA from 1 species
AUACGGAGGAUCCGAGCGUUAUCCGGAUUUAUUGGGUUUAAAGGGUGCGCAGGCGGCCAUUUAAGUCAGCGGUUAAAUCGUGGGGCUCCACCCCAUUCUGCCGUUGAUACUGGGUGGCUUGAUUGCGGUCGAGGUUGGCGGAAUUCGGUGUGUAGCGGUGAAAUGCAUAGAUAUGACGAAGAACACCGAUUGCGUAGGCAGCUGACCAGAUCGCAAAUGACGCUCAUGCACGAAAGUGCGGGGAUCGAACAGGAUUAGAUACCCUGGUAGUCCGCACAGUAAACGAUGAAUACUUGUUUUCGGCGAUAUAAUGUCGGAGGCAAAGCGAAAGCGAUAAGUAUUCCACCUGGGGAGUACGCCGGCAACGGUGAAACUCAAAGGAAUUGGCGGGG